AAAAAGACAAACCCUGAGUUUUCGUGUCCAACUUUGACUGUCCGUCUUAUAUGAAAUUUUUUUAUAAUUCGUAUUUUUAUUGUUGUUAGAUGAUAAAACAUCGUUAAUAUUUUAUGCGUGACUUGUCUUUUUAAUUUUUUUCAUAUUUUUUUCAAAUAAGACGGACGGUCAAAUGUUGGACACGGAAAUCAGGGUUUGUCUUUUU
rfam:Oryza glumipatula chromosome 12, whole genome shotgun sequence.